CGUAGGGUGCGAGCGUUAAUCGGAAUUACUGGGCGUAAAGCGUGCGCAGGCGGUUUUGUAAGACAGGCGUGAAAUCCCCGGGCUCAACCUGGGAACUGCGCUUGUGACUGCAAGGCUAGAGUAUGGCAGAGGGGGGUGGAAUUCCACGUGUAGCAGUGAAAUGCGUAGAGAUGUGGAGGAACACCAAUGGCGAAGGCAGCCCCCUGGGUCGAUACUGACGCUCAUGCACGAAAGCGUGGGUAGCAAACAGGAUUAGAUACCCUGGUAGUCCACGCCCUAAACGAUGUCAACUAGGUGUUGGGUGGGUAAAACCAUUUAGUACCGGAGCUAACGCGUGAAGUUGACCGCCUGGGGAGUACGGCCGCAAGGUUA
rnacentral:rRNA from 1 species